UGAAGGUCGGGGAACCAACACCCCCCAGCGGAAAAAUGGCCAAAAAACGGGUGGGCUUUAGCCUUGGUGGGGGACGUGGGCGAAGUUCGUCCGCCGGACUCGGAAUGGCCCCAGACUUUGCGGGCGGCUUCCGUGUGCCAAAAAUAGGCCACGGGCACAGCCGCGCCCAAAAAUCAGCCCCCGAAGGUCGGGGUGCCAAGACCCCCCAGCGGAAAAAUGGCCAAAAAACGGGUGGGCUAUAGCCUUGGUGGGGGGCGUGGGCGAAGUUCGUCCGCCGGACUCGGAAUGGCCCCAGACUUUGCGGGCGGCCUCCGUGCGCCAAAAAUAGGCCACGGGCACAGCCGCGCCCAAAAAUCAGCCCCUGAAGGUCGGGGUGCCAAGACCCCCCAGCGGAAAAAUGGUCAAAAAAUGGGUGGGUUAUAGCCUUGGGGGGGGGCGUGGGCGAAGUUCGUCCGCCGGACUCGGAAUGGCCCCAGACUUGGCGGGCGGCCUCCGUGCGCCAAAAAUAGGCCACGGGCACAGCCGCGCCCAAAAAUCACCCCCCGAAGGUCGGGUUGCCAGCACCCCCCGGCGGAAAAAUGGCCAAAAAACGGGUGGGUUAUAGCCUUGGGGGGGGGCGUGGGCGAAGUUCGUCCGCCGGACUCGGAAUGGCCCCAGACUUGGCGGGCGGCCUCCGUGUGCCAAAAAUAGGCCACGGGCACAGCCGCGCCCAAAAAUAAGCCCCCGAAGGUCGGGCUGCCAGCAACCCCCCGGAGGAAAAAUGGCCAAAAAACGGGUAAGGCUAUAGCCUUGGUGGGGGGCGUGGGCGAAGUUCGUCCGCCGGACUCGGAAUGGCCCCAUACUUUGCGGGCGGCCUCCGUGUGCCAAAAAUAGGCCACGGGCACAGCCGCGCCCAAAAAUGAGCGCCCGAAGGUCGGGGUACCAACACCCCCCAGCGGAAAAAUGGCCAAAAAACGGGUGGGCUAUGGUCUUCGUGGGGGGCGUGGGCGAAGUUCGUCCGCCGGACUCGGAAUGGCCCAAGACUUUGCGGGCGGACUCCGUGUGCCAAAAAUAGGCCACGGGCACAGCCGCGCCCUAAAAUCAGCCCCCGAAGGUCGGGGAGCCAAGAACCCCCAGCGGAAAAAUGACCAAAAAUCGGGUGGGCUAUAGCCUUGGUGGGGGGCGUGGGCGAAGUUCGUCCGCCGGACUCGGAAUGGCACCAGACUUUGCGGGCGGCCUCCGUGUGCCAAAAAUAGGCCACGGGCACAGCCGCGGUCAAAAAUCAGCCCCCGAAGGUCGGGGCGCCAAGACCCCCCAGCGGAAAAAUGGCCAAAAGACGGGUGGGCUAUAGCCUUGGUGGGGGGCGUGGGCGAAGUUCGUCCGCCGGACUCGGAAUGGCCCCAGACUUUGCGGGCGGCCUCCGUGUGCCAAAAAUAGGCCUCGGGCACAGCCGCGCCGAAAAAUCAGCCCCCGAAGGUCGGGGUGCCAAGACCCCCCAGCGGAAAAAUGGCCAAAAAACGGGUGGGCUAUAGCCUUGGUGGGGGGCGUGGGCGAAGUUCGUCCGCCGGACUCGGAAUGGCCCCAGACUUUGCGGGAGGCCUCCGUGUGCCAAAAAUAGGCCACGGGCACAGCCGCGCCCUAAAAUCAGCCCCCGAAGGUCGGGGUGCCAAGACCCCCCAGCGGAAAAAUGGCCAAAAAAUGGGUGGGCUAUAGCCUUGGUGGGGGACGUGGGCGAAGUUCGUCCGCCAGACUCGGAAUGGCCCCAGACUUUGCGGGCGGCCUCCGUGUGCCAAAAAUAGGCCACGGGCACAGCCGCGCCCAAAAAUCAGN
rnacentral:lncRNA from 1 species